GAUGAACGCUGGCGGCGUGCCUAAUACAUGCAAGUCGAGCGAACGGACGAGAAGUUUGCUUUUCUGAUGUUAGCGGCGGACGGGUGAGUAACACGUGGAUAACCUACCUAUAAGACUGGGAUAACUUCGGGAAACCGGAGCUAAUACCGGAUAAUAUUUUGAACCGCAUGGUUCAAAAGUGAAAGACGGUCUUGCUGUCACUUAUAGAUGGAUCCGCGCCGCAUUAGCUAGUUGGUAAGGUAACGGCUUACCAAGGCAACGAUGCAUAGCCGGCCUGAGAGGGUGCUCCGCCACACUGGAGCUGAGGCACGGUCCAGACUCCUACGGGAGGCAGCAGUGGGGAAUCUUCCGCAAUGGGGGAAAGCCUGACGGAGCAACGCCGCGUGUGUGAUGAAGGUCUUCGGGUCGUAAAACUCUGUUAUUAGGGAAGAACGUAUGUGUAAGUGACUAUGCACGUCUUGACGGUACCUAAUCAGAAAGCCACGGCUAACUACGUG
rnacentral:rRNA from 1 species